UGCAGUCGAGCGGUAGCACAGAGAGCUUGCUCUCGGGUGACGAGCGGCGGACGGGUGAGUAAUGUCUGGGAAACUGCCUGAUGGAGGGGGAUAACUACUGGAAACGGUAGCUAAUACCGCAUAAUGUCGCAAGACCAAAGUGGGGGACCUUCGGGCCUCAUGCCAUCAGAUGUGCCCAGAUGGGAUUAGCUAGUAGGUGGGGUAACGGCUCACCUAGGCGACGAUCCCUAGCUGGUCUGAGAGGAUGACCAGCCACACUGGAACUGAGACACGGUCCAGACUCCUACGGGAGGCAGCAGUGGGGAAUAUUGCACAAUGGGCGCAAGCCUGAUGCAGCCAUGCCGCGUGUGUGAAGAAGGCCUUCGGGUUGUAAAGCACUUUCAGCGGGGAGGAAGGCGGUGAGGUUAAUAACCUUGGCGAUUGACGUUACCCGCAGAAGAAGCACCGGCUAACUCCGUGCCAGCAGCCGCGGUAAUACGGAGGGUGCAAGCGUUAAUCGGAAUUACUGGGCGUAAAGCGCACGCAGGCGGUCUGUCAAGUCGGAUGUGAAAUCCCCGGGCUCAACCUGGGAACUGCAUUCGAAACUGGCAGGCUAGAGUCUUGUAGAGGGGGGUAGAAUUCCAGGUGUAGCGGUGAAAUGCGUAGAGAUCUGGAGGAAUACCGGUGGCGAAGGCGGCCCCCUGGACAAAGACUGACGCUCAGGUGCGAAAGCGUGGGGAGCAAACAGGAUUAGAUACCCUGGUAGUCCACGCCGUAAACGAUGUCGAUUUGGAGGUUGUGCCCUUGAGGCGUGGCUUCCGGAGCUAACGCGUUAAAUCGACCGCCUGGGGAGUACGGCCGCAAGGUUAAAACUCAAAUGAAUUGACGGGGGCCCGCACAAGCGGUGGAGCAUGUGGUUUAAUUCGAUGCAACGCGAAGAACCUUACCUGGUCUUGACAUCCACAGAACUUAGCAGAGAUGGAUUGGUGCCUUCGGGAACUGUGAGACAGGUGCUGCAUGGCUGUCGUCAGCUCGUGUUGUGAAAUGUUGGGUUAAGUCCCGCAACGAGCGCAACCCUUAUCCUUUGUUGCCAGCGGUCAGGCCGGGAACUCAAAGGAGACUGCCAGUGAUAAACUGGAGGAAGGUGGGGAUGACGUCAAGUCAUCAUGGCCCUUACGACCAGGGCUACACACGUGCUACAAUGGCAUAUACAAAGAGAAGCGACCUCGCGAGAGCAAGCGGACCUCAUAAAGUAUGUCGUAGUCCGGAUUGGAGUCUGCAACUCGACUCCAUGAAGUCGGAAUCGCUAGUAAUCGUAGAUCAGAAUGCUACGGUGAAUACGUUCCCGGGCCUUGUACACACCGCCCGUCACACCAUGGGAGUGGGUUGCAAAAGAAGUAGGUAGCUUAACCUUCGGGAGGGCGCUACC
rnacentral:rRNA from 1 species